CAGAACGUAGCCAAGGCAGGAAAGCAUCUCCCUUACACCGAGAAAUCACCCGUGCAAAUCGGGUCGCUCUGA
rnacentral:tRNA from 1 species